rnacentral:rRNA from 1 species
UUAAGUUGCAGGGUAUAGACCCGAAACCCGGUGAUCUAGCCAUGGGCAGGUUGAAGGUUGGGUAACACUAACUGGAGGACCGAACCGACUAAUGUUGAAAAAUUAGCGGAUGACCUGUGGCUGGGGGGUGAAAGGCCAAUCAAACCGGGAGAUAGCUGGUUCUCCCCGAAAGCUAUUUAGGUAGCGCCUCGUGAACUCAUCUCCGGGGGUAGAGCACUGUUUCGGCUAGGGGGCCAUCCCGGCUUACCAACCCGAUGCAAACUGCGAAUACCGGAGAAUGUUAUCACGGGAGACACACGGCGGGUGCUAACGUCCGUCGUGAAGAGGGAAACAACCCAGACCGCCAGCUAAGGUCCCAAAGUCAUGGUUAAGUGGGAAACGAUGUGGGAAGGCCCAGACAGCCAGGAUGUUGGCUUAGAAGCAGCCAUCAUUUAAAGAAAGCGUAAUAGCUCACUGGUCGAGUCGGCCUGCGCGGAAGAUGUAACGGGGCUAAACCAUGCACCGAAGCUGCGGCAGCGACACGCUUAUGCGUUGUUGGGUAGGGGAGCGUUCUGUAAGCCU